GCCAUUGAUGACUAUUGGUAGUUCAGCAAAAAUGCUAGUCUACUGGCUUGCAUCAAAUGUUGAAAUAAUUUCAUGAACUAGGACGGUCUGAGGC